GGCAGCCAGACCCACAGGAGAGGCCCAGGACUUCCUAUUGGGGAUCAUAAUCAAGGAGCUUCUGAAGGGAGGCCCUUUAGGCAGAACUGCACAUUUUCCAAAACACAAUGGUAUGCUUUACUCCACUGACUCCUUACAAGUCAUGGAGCAAAACAGACGGGGCAAGUACUAUUACUCUUACUUCGUAGACAUAUCUGAGCUCAGAGAGUGACUGAGAAGAACUAAGAAAUAAGAACUAAGUAGUUCUAAGAACAGUAGAACUAAGAAGUUCUGUGCCCAGCGUCAACUGACUGCUCUUCCCAUCCUUGAUCUACUCAUAUACUGCCUGCUAACUUCUCUGUGCCCUUGUUGUGAGAUUGGCAAGUGGUAGGGCCAGGUCUGUAGCAGCCUUCACCAGCCACUCACCAACAUGGCCUUUCUCCUGACACUGUCUUCCCAGGCUGCUGUCACUGGACAUCAUUCCUCCUCUGUGUCCUUCUCAUAGCACAGCAGCAGCUAUUCAGGAGAAAGAGCCCCUUGAACAACUGCUGGUAGGGCAUGUGAUUGUACAUACCCAGAACCCAGUGUGGGGGGCCCGCAGAAACCAGGAGUUUGCUCCAUCCAUGUUUAUGCCCAGGACUUGUGUCACCAGGCAUUUCUGCUGAACUGGGACAAUACCUCUGGAGAUAUAGAAUGGGUAACAUCUGAAAGCAUCCAUUACCCAAACAUGUAACUUGUCUAAUUGCCCUUCCUGGGACAGGAUCCACCUCUAAGUUCUACAGGUCAGGCCUGGAGUCCACACCUCAGCUCUAUGAGGAGAACACAGUUCUUGGGGAAGAAAACCAGUCUUCAGGCUCAGCUGAGGCACAUUUUCAGAGAUGGAUGGUAAUAGUCAUAAACUGUGCUCAUUCCCAUGUCCCUUUCCUCCUUAGCUACACCAGUCAUCAACUAGAAAAGCAAAGAGAAGGAGGCGGAGAUAAAAGAGCUAACCAGAUUCACAAAGUCCUAUGGCUAUUCUCAUGGGAGAAUAGGGGCUACUUCCUGAGAAGUCCCAACCAUGGGCUCCAGGGACAAAUAGCUCCAGGAAAUCCUUCAUCUCUUUGCAACCCACAGAUACUCAGAUACUCAUCUAGAGCCUCCACCUGGGAUGCUUGUCACCAGGUCCCUUUGAGCAGUCACUUGAGCCACCUGGUGGCAAAGCUUGGAGCUUUGCGAGGAGAGCAGCCAGGUGAACAACUGUCUAUGACUGCAGGUGGAGCAGCAGUUGGAUGGUGGGGGGCAGGAGGGCGGUAUGCAAAGCCAGCCUCAGCCCCUCCUCUGUCAACCAGGACAUCCCAACCCACACAGAGCCUGGAAACCAGCAGCACCCCUUCCAAGGUAAGAAGGAAAAAGUGCCAGGAAGCCCACAGUCCAUGGGACCGCACCAAGAUGUCUGUGGCAGAAGGGGUAAUCUUGCCUCUUCUGAUCUCCUUAGGCUUGGGGUGAAAUCAGAGGCUUCAAUAGAGAGUCUUGGGUGAGAGCAUGGGAUUUAGGUCAGACCUGGCUCCGGAUUUGGAGUUUGCCACAUACAGGUUGCUUGUCUUGGGCAAGGUGUUUUAAUUCUGCAGAUAUUCAAGCCUUAGUUUCCUCACUUUAAGGUGGGAAUAUAACAACAGAGAGAGAGUACAGUUAUUUGGAGCAUUAUGUGAAAUAAUUUGCAAGUGCCUGCCACAAUAAGAAUUGCUCAACAAGUAACAGUUUUAUAAAUUAAUAUCUAUCUCUUGUAUUCGUGGAGUGCUUUAAAAUUUACCAAGUCUUCAAAUAUUUUCAUCUGUGGUCGGGCAGGAUUAUGCUCUCUGUAUUUGACUUGAGAAAACUCAGGCAUUGAGACAUUAAUUGACAUGCUAAGGUUUAUAGCAGCUGAGAAACCAACCCAGGAUUUGGAACUGACUUUUUUAAAUACUUAAAAUUUUUUUAUUUUUUAAAAGAUUUUAUCUAUUUAUUCAUGAGAGACACACACAGAGAGAGAGACAGAGACAAUAGGCAGAAGGAGAAGCAUGUUCCAUUCAGGGAACCUGAUGGGUGACUUGAUCCUGGGACUCCGGGAUCAUGCCCUGAGCCAAAGGCAGACACUCAACCACUGAUCCACCCAGGUGCCCAUUGACAUUUUUAAAAAAGUAUUCUCUGAUGUGAUGUGGGCUAGGAGUGAAGGGUCAAGAAAGGAUACUUGAGACAUUUCCAGUGCAAUAAAAGGGUAGUUUUAUCAUAUAGCA
ensembl:lncRNA